rnacentral:rRNA from 1 species
AGAGUUUGAUCCUGGCUCAGAUUGAACGCUGGCGGUAUGCUUAACACAUGCAAGUCGAACGGAAACGGAACUAGCUUGCUAGUAGACGUCGAGUGGCGGACGGGUGAGUAACGCGUAGGAAUCUGCCUGAUAGUGGGGGAUAGCCCGAAGAAAUUCGGAUUAAUACCGCAUAAUCUAUUCGUAGUAAAGUGGGGGACUUUCGAGCCUCACGCUAUCAGAUGAGCCUGCGUAAGAUUAGCUAGUUGGUAGGGUAAAAGCCUACCAAGGCUACGAUCUUUAGCUGGUCUGAGAGGAUGAUCAGCCACAUCGGGACUGAGACACGGCCCGAACUCCUACGGGAGGCAGCAGUGGGGAAUAUUGGACAAUGGGGGCAACCCUGAUCCAGCAAUACCGCGUGUGUGAAGAAGGCCUGAGGGUUGUAAAGCACUUUCAAUUGUGAAGAAAAGUUAACGGUUAAUAACCGUUAGCCUUGACGUUAACUUUAGAAGAAGCACCGGCUAACUCCGUGCCAGCAGCCGCGGUAAUACGGAGGGUGCAAGCGUUAAUCGGAAUUACUGGGCGUAAAGCGUGCGUAGGCGGUUUAUUAAGUCAGAUGUGAAAGCCCCGGGCUUAACCUGGGAACUGCAUUUGAAACUGGUCAACUAGAGUAUGGUAGAGGAAAGUGGAAUUUCUGGUGUAGCGGUGAAAUGCGUAGAUAUCAGAAGGAACAUCAAUGGCGAAGGCAGCUUUCUGGACCAAUACUGACGCUGAGGUACGAAAGCGUGGGUAGCAAACAGGAUUAGAUACCCUGGUAGUCCACGCCGUAAACGAUGAUAACUAGCCGUUGGGGGGAUUUACCCUUUAGUGGCGAAGCUAACGCGUUAAGUUAUCCGCCUGGGGAGUACGGCCGCAAGGUUAAAACUCAAAGGAAUUGACGGGGACCCGCACAAGCGGUGGAGCAUGUGGUUUAAUUCGAUGCAACGCGAAGAACCUUACCUGGUCUUGACAUCCUGCGAACUUUCUAGAAAUAGAUUGGUGCCUUCGGGAACGCAGUGACAGGUGCUGCAUGGCUGUCGUCAGCUCGUGUCGUGAGAUGUUGGGUUAAGUCCCGUAACGAGCGCAACCCCUAUCCUUAUUUGCCAGCACGUCAUGGUGGGAACUAUAAGGAGACUGCCGGUGAUAAACCGGAGGAAGGCGGGGACGACGUCAAGUCAUCAUGGCCCUUACGACCAGGGCUACACACGUGCUACAAUGGGAAGGACAAAGAGCCGCGAAGCCGCGAGGUGUAGCUAAUCUCAGAAACCUUUUCGUAGUCCGGAUUGGAGUCUGCAACUCGACUCCAUGAAGUCGGAAUCGCUAGUAAUCGUAGAUCAGAAUGCUACGGUGAAUACGUUCCCGGGUCUUGUACACACCGCCCGUCAUACCAUGGGAGUGGGUUGCACCAGAAGUGGCUAGUCUAACUUAGUGAGGACGGUCACCACGGUGUGAUUCAUGACUGGGGUAAAGUCGUAACAAGGUAACC